rnacentral:rRNA from 1 species
UACGGAGGGGGCUAGCGUUGUUCGGAAUUACUGGGCGUAAAGCGCGCGUAGGCGGACCUGCAAGUCGGGGGUGAAAUCCUGGAGCUCAACUCCAGAACUGCCUUCGAUACUGGCGAUCUUGAGUCCGGAAGAGGUGAGUGGAACUCCUAGUGUAGAGGUGGAAUUCGUAGAUAUUAGGAAGAACACCAGUGGCGAAGGCGGCUCACUGGUCCGGUACUGACACUGAGGUGCGAAAGCGUGGGGAGCAAACAGG